rnacentral:rRNA from 1 species
GUGGAUUUUUAGCCCUGGUGGGUAGCUUCCCGGAAACGAAAGUCUUCCGGUUCCGGGGGAAGUAUGGUGGCAAAGCUGAAACUUAAAGGAAUUGACGGAAGGGCACCACCAGGAGUGGAGCCUGCGGCUUAAUUUGACUCAACACGGGGAAACUCACCCGGCCCGGACACCGUAAGGAUUGACAGAUUGAUAGCUCUUUCAUGAUUCGGUGGUUGGUGGUGCAUGGCCGUUCUUAGUUCGUGGAUCGAUUUGUCUGGUUUAUUCCGAUAACGAGCGAGACUCUAGCCUACUAAAUAGUAACGAGAUUAUCAAUGUCUCAGUUGCUUCUUAGAGGGAUUUUCGGUGUUUAGCCGCACGAGAUUGAGCAAUAACAGGUCUGUGAUGCCCUUAGAUGUCCGGGGCUGCACGCGCGCUACACUGGCGAAAUCAGCGUGCUGUAUCCAUUCUCGAAAGGGAUUGGUAAACCCAUGAAAAUUUGCCGUGCUUGGG